GCAUAUCAAUAAGCGGAGGAAAAGAAACUAACAAGGAUUCCCCUAGUAACUGCGAGUGAAGCGGGAAAAGCUCAAAUUUAAAAUCUGGCGGGUUCCCCGUCCGAGUUGUAAUCUGGAGAAGCGUUUUCCGUGUCGGACCGUGUACAAGUCCCUUGGAAUGGGGCGUCAUAGAGGGUGAGAAUCCCGUCCAUGACACGGACUACCGAUGCUUUGUGAUACGCUCUCGAAGAGUCGAGUUGUUUGGGAAUGCAGCUCAAAAUGGGUGGUAAAUUCCAUCUAAAGCUAAAUAUUGGCGAGAGACCGAUAGCGAACAAGUACCGUGAGGGAAAGAUGAAAAGCACUUUGGAAAGAGAGUUAAACAGUACGUGAAAUUGUUGAAAGGGAAACGCUUGAAGUCAGUCGCGUCCGUCGAGACUCAGCCUUGCCUUUGGGCCUGGUGUAUUUCUUGGUGGACGGGUCAACAUCGAUUUUGAAUGGCAGAUAAAGGUCUGGGGAAUGUGGCACCUCCGGGUGUGUUAUAGCCCCUCUCCGUAUAUGCUGUUUGGGAUCGAGGAACGCAGCACGCCCUUGUGGCCGGGGUUUUACCCACGUACCGUGCUUAGGAUGUUGGCAUAAUGGCUUUAAGCGACCCGUCUUGAAACACGGACC
rnacentral:rRNA from 1 species